rnacentral:rRNA from 1 species
AUUGAACGCUGGCGGCAUGCUUUACACAUGCAAGUCGAACGGUAACAGGCCGCAAGGUGCUGACGAGUGGCGAACGGGUGAGUAAUGCAUCGGAACGUGCCCAGUCGUGGGGGAUAACGCAGCGAAAGCUGCGCUAAUACCGCAUACGAUCUAUUGAUGAAAGCGGGGGACCGUAAGGCCUCGCGCGAUUGGAGUUGCCGAUGUCAGAUUAGGUAGUUGGUGGGGUAAAGGCUCACCAAGCCAACGAUCUGUAGCUGGUCUGAGAGGACGACCAGCCACACUGGGACUGAGACACGGCCCAGACUCCUACGGGAGGCAGCAGUGGGGAAUUUUGGACAAUGGGCGCAAGCCUGAUCCAGCAAUGCCGCGUGCAGGAAGAAGGCCUUCGGGUUGUAAACUGCUUUUGUACGGAACGAAACGGCUCUGGUUAAUACCUGGGGCUAAUGACGGUACCGUAAGAAUAAGCACCGGCUAACUACGUGCCAGCCGCCGCAGUAAGAC